rnacentral:rRNA from 1 species
UACGUAGGGUGCAAGCGUUAAUCGGAAUUACUGGGCGUAAAGCGUGCGCAGGCGGUUUGGUAAGACAGAUGUGAAAUCCCCGGGCUCAACCUGGGAAUUGCAUUUGUGACUGCCCGACUAGAGUGUGUCAGAGGGGGGUAGAAUUCCACGUGUAGCAGUGAAAUGCGUAGAGAUGUGGAGGAAUACCGAUGGCGAAGGCAGCCCCCUGGGAUAACACUGACGCUCAUGCACGAAAGCGUGGGGAGCAAACAGGAUUAGAAACCCUUGUAGU